rnacentral:ncRNA from 2 species
UAACCGCGGCAAAGAAGCCGCGCUGAACCUACAGGAGUCAGCAGAGGCCAUAGUGCGGGAGUAUGGGACGUCAGAAACCGGAAGGGC